CUACAAGCGUUAAUGGUAGGUGCGUGUGUUGCUGCGAUGCCUGUUCUUAAAAAGAUCCCGACUUCAGUUCUUUGGGGGUAUUUUGCUUUCAUGGCGAUCGAAAGUUUACCGGGGAAUCAAUUUUGGGAGCGGAUUUUAUUGCUUUUCACUGCUCCAAGUCGAAGAUACAAGUAAGUUUUUCAACGGAUUUUAUUGCUGUAAUUAUGAUUUUGCGAUUGAUUAGCAAUUUGGGAAAUGAAAAAUUUGGAUUAGGGUUUUGGAAGAACAUCAUGCGACGUUUGUGGAAACUGUACCUUUCAAGACUGUUGCUGCUUUCACAUUGUUUCAGACGGCUUACUUAUUUGCGUGUUUUGGCAUAACGUGGAUUCCGAUUGCUGGUGUUCUUUUCCCACUUUUGAUCAUGCUUCUUGUUCCUGCGAGGCAAUAUUUGCUUCCUAAGUUUUUUAAAGGUGCUCAUCUUCAGGAUUUAGAUGCAGCUGAAUACGAAGAAGCCUCGGCCACACCUUACAAUAUGGCCUUCGGUGUAAGUCAACUAAACAAUAAUAAAAUCAUAAAAAGAUGUAAACAAAAAUCUACUUUUCUUGAGUUUAACAACUAAUUUAUGCCAAAUGGUUGCAGGACGAUGAGACUCCAACAAGAACUACCCAAGUGGAUAGUGCAGAAGUACUGGAUGGAAUUAUAACAAGAAGCCGAGGAGAGAUACGCCAC
rnacentral:lncRNA from 1 species